UGGGAGGUCUGUCAGGGCCAGAGGCAGGUCAAGAGGUGGAGGUCUGUCGGGUCAGGUCAAGGAGGUGGAGGUCUGUCAGGGGCAGGGGCAGGGGCAGGUCAAGAAGUGGAGGUCUGUCAGGGCAGCGAGGCAGGUCAAGGAGGUGGAGGUCUGUCAGGGGCAGGUCAAGAAGGUGGAGGUCUGUCAGGGGCAGGGGCAGGGCAGGUCAAGAAGGUGGAGUCUGUCAGGGCCAGAGCAGGUCAAGGAGGUGGAGGUCUGUCAGGGUCAGGUCAAGGAGGUGGAGGUCUGUCAGGGUCAGGUCAAGGAGGUGGAGGUCUGUCAGGGCCAGAGGCAGGUUUUUUUUCUCCUUUUUUUCCUACUGUGUUAUUGACUUUUUAAUUGUUUACUCCAUGUGUAACUCUGUGUUGUCUGUUCACACUGCUAUGCUUUAUCUUGCCAGGUCGAGUCAUGCAAAUGAGAACUUGUUCUCAACUAGCCUACCUGGUUAAAUAAGGUGAAAAAUAAAAAAUAAAAUAAAUAAGGUCAAGGAGGUGGAGGUCUGUCAGGGUCAGAGGCAGGUCAAGAGGUGGAGGUCUGUCAGGGUCAGGGUCGAGGCAGGUCAAGGAGGUGGAGUUCUGUCAGGGUCAGAGGCAGGUCAAGGAGGUGGAGUUCUGUCAGGUCAGAGGCAGGUCUAAAAGGUGGAGGUCUGUCAGGGGCAGGUCAGAAGGUGGAGGUCUGUCAGGGGCAGGGGCAGGGGCAGGUCAAGGAGGUGGAGGUCUGUCAGGGGCAGGUCAAGGAGGUGGAGUUCUGUCAGGGUCAGAGGCAGGUCAAGGAGGUGGAGUUCUGUCAGGGUCAGAGGCAGGUCAAGAAGGUGGAGCUCUGUCAGGGCCAGAGGCAGGUCAAGGAGUGGGUGGAGGCUGCCGGUGGUCAGGGGCAGGUCAGGAGGUGGAGGUCUGUCAGGGUCAGGGUCAGAGGCAGGUCAAGGAGGUGGAGGUCUGACAGUAUGUCAGGGCCAGAGGCUGAUGUAGUUUACACCCGUGGAUUGGUACACUUCACCCGGCAGGAUUUCCUGUGUCUCUCAAUCCAAUCCCCAAAGUCCCAACGCAGUAGUCACAAAUAAUGAAACAGCUGAACAGUCAGUCAUUCCUUACUCUGCUACCACCUUGUGGCGCUUUCAUGUAUUUACUAAGUGAAGUGAAAACAGAAAUGCCCAGAGUCGUGUUCUUAUCCUGUAUGGGGACACACAGAAAGGCCCGAGUCGUGUUUCUAAUCCUGGUAUG
rnacentral:lncRNA from 1 species